UCGUUCAGGGAGUAUGAGGAUUCUGUGUUAUGCACUAUAGCCCGUUAGCAUAUAUGUGAUAGAAUAUUAUCUGCUGUUGGCUUGUGUGGAUGUAUGUAUGUGUUUUGCAACAUAGCUGACUUGAAACAUUGCUAACAGUUUCAGGGCCAUGGGCCUUUCUCGUGAUGGAAAAAUACAGAAUAACAUGAAGACAGGCACUGUGCAAUGAGUUGGGGGGGGGGGCACAUUCAGAACGUAGUGUUGCGAGAACAAACAGUCUUUUGUUAGAUAACAGGAGCCAGGUGCGAGAUAACGGUAUCGAGCAUGAGCGCAUAGAUAUUCUUCACAGCAAGUUACAUCUAUCAACUGGAGCGCCCGGAGGCUGGUACCAGCUCGUACGACAACAAUCAACGAUAGGCUGGGUGAGUUUAAACCACGCCCCAGUCUCUACUCUGACAGGCCGGCUCGGAGGCAGGAACUAUUUCUGUCAGGGUAUAUUUAUAAUAUCUUUGUCAAGAACAAGUCAGUUCUCUGUUUGCCCUGCGAGGUGGGACAGAGAGCCCGUAUAUACGAAAAUUGUAUUUACCACUUAUUGCUUAGCAAAUAAAAGAUACAUAGUAUACAAUCAGUGACUCAUUAUCAUAUUUAUCCUGAUACCAGAUUCGAAUUGACGCAACUCUUAACAAUUGGUGACCCCGAACGUGAUCUGGUAAAGGACAUCAAAACUAUUAAGCUCUCUGAUGCAGGCACUUACACCCUCGGACUACAAAGGACCGGGACAGACACGAUGGGUGUGUUUUCUAUUAAGGUGCUGCCAAAACCACAGAGGUCCCAGACGAACCAGAGCCAGACACACUCCUCUACUACCCCUGGACCGAGCCUUCCACCCACCACCACUGUGUCAAAUCCCAUUCAGCUGCCAGCUGAGCUCCAGCAUCAGGGUGUCUGUGACCACGUCAGAUGGGUCCCGCCGUGGACUCCGGUAGUCCGGCUCGCUGCUCCAACCGAACCACGAGGCCAUCACCACUGUUGCCUUGUCCCCCUUUUACCAUGUGCUUGCAUGGGAGGAACCAGAGCUUGCUGUCAUGAAGCGCUUACCGGGUGCAACAAAGGGACAAGAGGGAAUGGCUUAAAACAGUAAAGACUGAACUGAGAAGCGAUGAAAGGAAAAGAAAAUGAAUAGGAUUAAAUCAAGUUGUGUCGUUUGAUCUGUUUUAUUACCUUGACUACAAGUGUCACUGAAAUAAUUAUCCAGUAACAUAUAUGUGAACAACAUUUGAAUACUAUGUGUCACACAUAUAUGAGCAUAUAAGGUAACAUUAUGACAUAUAAGGGACAUAUGUAAUAAACAUUUUAAUACUAUGUGUCACACAUGAGCAUUUAAGUAUUAUACAUAUGCACAUGUGUGUAUAUAAGAUUAAGAUAUGUCAUACAUGAAAACAGCCAAUUCUUGUAUAUUUCAACUUAUGUGACAUACAGUGCCUUGCGAAAGUAUUCGGCCCCCUUGAACUUUGCGACCUUUUGCCACAUUUCACGCUUCAAACAUAAAGAUAUAAAACUGUAUUUUUUUUGUGAAGAAUCAACAACAAGUGGGACACAAUCAUGAAGUGGAACGGAAUUUAUUGGAUAUUUCAAACCUCUUUAACAAAUCAAAAACUGAAAAAUUGGGCGUGCAAAAUUAUUCAGCCCCCUUAAGUUAAUACUUUGUAGCGCCACCUUUAACUGUGAUUACAGCUGUAAGUCGCUUGGGGUAUGUCUCUAUCAGUUUUGCACAUCGAGAGACUGACAUUUUUUCCCAUUCCUCCUUGCAAAACAGCUCGAGCUCAGUGAGGUUGGAUGGAGAGCAUUUUUACAUACAUUUUUAUAUCUUUA